AGGGGUGUAGCUCAGUGGAAGAACGUGUGCUUAGUUAGCAUGCACGAGGUCCUGGGUUCAAUCCCCAGUACCUCCA
rnacentral:tRNA from 1 species